CCCCGUUGUAACAAAUAAGUUCUCAAGGGCCCAAGUCGACCAGAUCUUCGGUUUAUUCGACAGAACAGCUCAUGCGAUGGCAAAUCGCCUAUCAGACUUAAAACCACGCAUCAUUUAACAGGAAGGCGAUUGCUUCUACGGCCAUACUAGUCAUUUGGGAGCUUUUAGAACGAAAGAAACGCGAGGGUCAUUCGUAACAUCUCGACCAUGCCGCUUAUUAUCUUCUACAAGAUCAAGAAUGAAGCUCGCAAUUGGGCGCUCGGGGGCGCUGAGCAUAUGAGUAGUAUUAUGCCGGGAGAGUAAGCUUUUGUUGCUUUUUUUUUUCUUUUUCCUUUCAACCUUGUUCGAACUCUUUCUUAUUUAAUGAGAUGAGGCGAAGCUUUUGCCUCCAUUUUGAAAAAAAAACACAAGUGAGUACGUCAUAUCACACAACCAUGAUGAAUUACUCCAGCGAGGCUAAAUGGAGUAUUACAAAUGGACAUUUUUGUCUUUCCACAUUUUGCAUGGCUAAAAAAUUUUUAAAAAUAGAUGGAGCCUUUCUCUCGCAGUCCCGUUUCCAGUCCGCCACCGUCCUCGCGGGCGCGCUGCCGCCUUACCGGCCGCGGCCGCCUCUGCCUUUGCCCCGCACGCAGCCGCCACCUUACCAGCCCGCCACUGCUGUCCUUGCCGCACGAGCCGCCGCUGCUCUUCCAGCGCACCGCCGCUGUCCUCGCCGCGGUUGCGCCCAUCACUACCCCUUGUGCCCACAGCGGGCGUCGUCACCGGCCCACCUCCUUCUCUCUCCGUGUCGGUGCCGUGCUCGCCCUCGUCCAGCGGGCCGCCGCCCACGACCAGUCGCUUAGCUGUUGCCCUAGCGCGCGCUGCCGCCUCCGUCGACCUCGCCCUUGCAUGCGCCGCCGCCGCCCUCAACCAACACCAGCCUCACCCUCCACCCACCCAGCCACCCUCCACCCAACCCGCGCCGCUGACCUCGCAGCGUGCCGCUCCAUUCUGCCCUCGCCGUCCUCGUCCCCGGUGCUCUGCAACCGCCCUCCACCCAGCAGUGUAGCGUCGUGACAUCGGGUGGCCUCCGCCGGCGGCGGAAGCUCCUGCGAACAGGGCCAAGAAAGGGCGUUCGGUUGUGUUUCGGGAUAUAUUUUUUUUUUUUUGGGGGGGGGGGGGCAGCUGUGAGAUCACAUCUUUGCUUUUACUUCUGAGUACUUCGUCCUAUUACUCCACACACCUCAAUUGGAGUAUCAGGGAGUAUUAACACAUCUGAGUCCUUGGAUCUAAAAAAUAGACGGUCCAAAUUAAUUUUGGGAUACCGUAGAAGAACUCAUGUAUAACAGCUGUAAUGCAUGUGGAGUAUUAACACAUGCAUUACGUCGGUCCAUCGAACAGGACGUACAUUGCGCAGGCAGAGGCAAAGAUAGACGACCUGAACCUGCUAGCUACAGUGAACCACGACGUUAUCUGAACACUGGUAGAGAUGGACCAUACUCGUCGGCGUCACCGGCCGCUGGAAAGGACAGGGAGUUGAUCUAUAGACGAUAGGAAGUUAGGAACACCAUUGCAUCUGCCUCUGUCCUCUGAUACGGUUGUGAUGGCGGCAAUUGACCGAUACAUCAGCUGCGUAACCACUCCUUGACCCUAUCUUCUGCAAAAGCUCUCAGUUUGCCUUUUUCCUGGGCAGACCUGAGCUGAGCAAACCUUCACGCGUCACGCUAUGCGUAGACAUCGCGACGCGUAUGAGGUUAUAAUCAUCUAUUCCUGAUCUGGAUCGGCUCAGGUUACUUGGAAGUUGGAACUUGUUUGCAUUGAUAGGGUAGAGUUGGAGUCAACCCAUACUCGACUCGAGUGCACUUCUGCCAUCUUUUCGCACAAAAGUAGUCUCGUGGGAGUACAAUCACAUGACAAUUUAACGACGUUUUCAAGGUCAACAUUAGAAAAGAAGAAGUCUUGGGCUGUGUAUUGGUGCAAUUGUAUGUAUCUAACUAUCUAAAGUGUAUGGGAACCUAGUUUGGACAUCAGUAAUUCAGUAUGCGUUUAGCGAAACAUACAGUCCAAUCUGUACUGUUAAAUUUGUCACUCAAAUCUUAGCUACAGGCAUUAGUGAACCAAACAUCAGGGAUCAGACCACAAGAUGCUUCGUGAUCUUAACAGAAACAGGGCGACGCUCCGUACUUCACAGACAAGGCAUGUGACAUAGAAAGAGGCUGAAAGAUGUGUACACACCUUAACACCUAGAACAGUGAAACAAAAGUGGCAGUGAAGACCAAAAACGCAACAACACGGAGAUUGGGACACAAAGGUAGCUACUUGUACUGAUAACUGAUAUCAGAACGUUUAUCUGAGAACACACAGCAGGCGAUGGAGCCGCAUGAUAGGACCAAAGAAACCCCAAUCUGGUGCUUACGGCGAGACCCGGCUCAGGUGAUCAUUUUCUGGCCAUCGUCGGCGCAUUCUCGCUCGCAAACCUGAUUGCAGUAGUCUCCAGGUAACCCCAUGGCAAAGCAGCCCCCAGUGCACCGGGUGAAGCAAUCGAAGCCGAAACCGGCAGUGUUCCCGGGCCGCAGCAGGAAGUUGGGUGACGCCGGCUGCUCGUCGUUGUCACCGGCAGCUGCAGAGGCAGAGCCCAUGACCACGAGCAGGAGGAACGCGGCCGCGAUGACCCUUGGUGUGGCUGUGAUUGUGGCCAUAAUGGUCCACCUGAUCGUGCCUUUCUGAGCAGCUCUCUUGGUUUCACCUGAACCGGCUGUCACUGCAGAGCUAACUGUGGGGACUGGGGAGGCUUGAGAGCGAUAUAUAGCGAGAGAGAAACUGACCUUACAUAACCAAUUGGCCAUGAUCCUGUGGUCCUGGUGGAACCUGAUAAACUUCCGUUUCUCCUCUGAUGAUCUGAUCGCCAGGUAUAUCCUAUAGCACAGUUGCUGCCUCGAGAUGAUAGUACUAGAUCAUGGCAUUGAUUGGAGGGCUCGGUGUCAAACUGUCAUUACGCAAGUUAACAUGUGAUUAGUAACAUGUACAUGCACCAACCAGCAAUUCUAAAAGCUCGAAACUGUUAAUGGACGUUGUCCGGGAGAGGUGGCGACCAUGCGCAACGACGACGGGGAAGCAGGAGAGCUGAAGAGGCGGGGCGUCGCGAAGGAGGUGUCGGCGAGAGGUGACAGGUGCGGACCACUAUUGGCGUCGGCGUCUCCUGCUAUGCAGGUUGUAAUCAUGUGAUUACUGAGUUCACGCACCAAGAGAUUAUAGAAGCUAAGAAUUGCUCAAGGAACAGUCACGAUCGGUCCCAGUUAAGUAAUCUGUGCGCACAUGGCUGCCAAGUGCAAACAGAUGACAUGUUAAUUCCUCUGUCAAAUGUGACUUGUUAGCCGAUGGGGCAGACAGACAUCAAAGCAUUCAAAUCGGUGGCCAGUGUAAUGUGGCGACUUCAACUUGAGGCAAAACGAACAGCAGCAUAUCAUAUCACCUGCAUCACUUUCGACAUUAUGAAGGCCCUUUCAAGAACAGCAGGCAUCAAUGAACAAAAUGACCAUUAUCUCACUGCUCAGAGCAGAAGAAAUUGGUUAACUCUAAAUAAUCAGAUGCUCCCGAUCCCACAGAACAGACAAGGAUAUCAGAUUCAGUAGUAUAAGAACCUACGGUUUUCCAAGAUGCAUCCGCUGUCGUCGCAUCUUGUUCAGUUCUUUCAGUUCUGCUGGUAGAAGCACCAUCAUCUCAAAUCUUAAUUAGGAUAUGUUUCCAUUAUUGUUCUGCAUCACUAUAUCAUAUCAAGGCCAUGGAUUGCUCCUUCCAGUUCCACCCCUUGAGCCAAACAAGAAAAUAAGGAACAAGUUGAUCCCAUGAGCAGCCAUUCCUCAAAGAAGCCAAAUAGACCCUAUCAGCACCAACGGAUGGCUGCAAUAUCAUGAACAAAACACUAGUUUUUCCAAAACAAAACUUUGAUGCGCCCACAACAAAUGAUACUGUAAUAUACUCAGUCAAUAAUGGAGUAAAACAAAAUGAUCCAUUACCUCAUUUAGCCAAGUAAUUAUACUCCCCGCGUUUCAUAUUAAGUGCCGAAAUAUUACAUGUAUCUAGACAUGUUUUACUAUAUAGAUACGUUCAUAUUUAGACAAAUUUGAGUCACUUAAUAUGGGACGGAGGGAGUACAAAUAGAGAUUCCUUAAGUGAUAACCGAUAAAUAAAGAUCAUGAAAAUUCAGGUAGGGUGACUCCAUACGACGACAAUAAUAUCUCCCAAGCCAUCUUUCAGAUAUUGUGCUGAUAACCUGGAAUAUAUUUCAGAACUGUGUGAAUCCUAGAUGUAGAAAUAUUGAUCGAUUUAGAGACCAAGAACCAUAUGCUGCCAAUACAAGUACACUGUAGCUAAACCAAAGCAUAUAACAUAUCGGAAUGAAACUAUCUCCUGAUGUUUGUUUAGUAUCCUGCAGUUACCUCAGUACAAAAUGCCUUCAGUUUAAUUUUACAAAGAAAGAGAGUAAGAAAGCCAACCAUGGAUCCAUAUUUUCUUUCCAUUCCAGAUCACACUAGUUCUUUUUCUACCAUUGGAUUUUUCUAGGUUGCUACUACUAAGAGUCUUAGAAUAUGGCAUUAUGAACAGGGACAGCGUUGGCCUGCUGACUAACAUACCCUACAUACUGACAGCCGUAAAAUGGAAAGGACAAAGAACGAGUGGGGCUUCUAACCUCAAACUGAUGGUGUGCCAUCUGAAGAGAACUAGUGCAAACAAGCUGAAAGGUGGGCACAUCUUAAUGUUUGAUGACAGGCCUACAUGUUAUGCCAGGAACAAAUGGUAAUUUAAGAACUGUACUGGCAGUUAACCAGCAAAAAAACAUGUAUAUCCAAGGAAAUGAUGUUAUAGAACUCAUCACAGAUUCACAAACCAGUAAGCUAACAGCAUUGUCUUCAUAAUUUGUUGUGUGCGUAAUUUAUAUGCUCCAGCCAUCUGAGCAAUGCAGAACUUGGAUCAUUUGAGGGGGAAAUCUGGAAAUGUCAAAUGGAGCACUCUUCCAAUAAUUUGCAUAGGUAUAUAUUCUUAAAGGCCACAUGGUUUACAUAUAUACUCCCUCCGUUCCAUAUUAAUUGGCGCGAAUUAAUAUGGAACGGAGGGAGUAGUAAGGUUUACAUUUCGAAAGAGCAAGCAAAUUAUACAUAGGACCUGAUCUGGAUCAUUUAUCAUAAGCAAAUUAACAAGGCAAGAUUUGAAACAAGUGCAAUUUUCUUAGCUAUUAUAUCAAUAGCAUUUAACAGGGGAAACAAGAGGAUGAUGAACAAUUAAGUAUAAACAGGAACACUUUAGUUAAUACUCCCUCCAUUUCCUUAUAUACCCCGCAUAGAGUUCUGCAAUUGUACCAAAGACAGCAGCCGCAAGGAAAUUGCAUACAGAUUUUGUGCUCGGUUGAAGCGCUGGAGUACUACACGAGAGAAGCUGAGUACUGCAUGCAUGCAUUAAUUCUUAAUGUUUCUAGGAAGCCAAGGAGCCAACGCGUUACAUUUUGGAAAAAAAUAGAAGAAAAAUAAAUUUGGGAAUUGAGGGAGUAGUCGUCAGCUAAUACACUGGAUGCAACUGAGAGGUAACAAUGAGAAUAACACAAAACUGCAUAGUUAUAACAUGUCCUGCUACAGGGGUCAAAAAAGUGUUGCACUAUAUUCACAGACGAGCACAAACACACAUGAACAGAGAAUUAAGUUCAUGUGGAGAAGUAAUAUUAAGAUGCUACGAUUAAAUAACUAGCAAAGAACAGAGCCAAAGCUCAAAUGUCUUGAAACAAGAUAGUAAUCAACAAAUGCACUAUACACAAGUUAAAAAGGUUGAAUUGAUUAAUCAGAAUGUAUAUCAGGGAAGAUAGGCUACUUUGAAGAUGCACCUACAGACACUACAUUAAAUUGGUGCAAGCUUAUGACCUUCUAGUAUACAGAAUAUACAAGACCUUCCUAGUAUCAGGGGCGGAUCACAAAUCUCACACGAGUCCAUGUCUAAAACUGGCAUCUCCUGCAUCGCCGCUGGAAUCCAAACCUACGGGUGAAUCAUACCACUUGGGCACGGAGUAGAAUCCAUCGACAUGUAGACCUAACAAACUUGAGUCGGUUACCAUGGUUUCAUCAUGCAUCAGUGGCUUAAUAAUCUUCGAAUCCUCAACGCCAUCAUCAUCCCCACAGUUAAGAAUACUCUUUUCAUCAAAGUCACCAGCAUUAUCCUUGAGCAUCCACUUAUCACACUUUGGGCUAUCACCCAUUAGCAUCUUUCUAUCCUCACACUCAGCUGCCAUUCUAUCCCACGAGACAAUAGGCCCGAGGCUCGAACCAAAAUCAGUGUCAUCGUCAUCAAGUAUUUCAUCAUCCUUGCAGAAUGCACCGUCAUGAUGAUCUAAGUGGUGGGCCACAUCAUCAGUCCCCCAUCCGCCAACAACCUCAUUGCCCAUCAUCAAUGUCUCCUCUGGUUGGUAGGUAUUGCCAUCCAAAGUAAACUUCCUAAUCCUGUGUAAAACCUCAGAUAGCUCACUGGAAAGAGAACCCAACAGUUCGGGGUGCAUCUUAACCACCUUCCCUUCUAAAGAGACCACCUCUGCUCUGAGAUCCCGGACUUGCUGCAAGACUGCCUGAUGCGAGUCGUCAAUAUCAACAUAUAUAUCUCCCUUAAUCGUAAAGUUAGGAUCAGCUUCCUCAUUGACAUCAUAAAUAUCUGGAUCAAACUCAAAUGUGCCCUUAUGUCCAACUAAUCUGUGAACAAUUCGAGCACUGCCAUCAAGUGGCCCAGGUUCAUGCCCCGAGUGCACCGCGUAAAGCUUGAACACUGCAGUGCCUUCCUCCUGAUAUACAAAACUUUUGUCUUUCUCGUUAUAAUUGGCUAUGGGCACUAUGGCCCGAAUACGGAACCCACAGCCGCACCUCUUCGACUGGUAUGGCUCGCGCUUCAGCCCCCGUGUCUUCUUCGCCUCGGAGGCACUAGCUGAAGAGGAUGCAGAAUUCCCAUUACUUGAAGUUGGUACCCCAGCUCGAUGGCACGCAUAAUCCUUCACUUCAGCCAUGAACGGCUUAUACCUUAUAUACUUCUGCCUAAUACAGAGGACCACCUUAUGCUUGGCAGCUAACUGCUGUAGCCGGCGUGGCACAUCUCGCGCAGGCACAUCCAGCGUCUCUGUAUAUUCAAACCGGCGGCGCCGCUUACCUCGUCCAGGGGAUGAGAUAGCAGAAUCAGGCAAUCCAGCAGGUGCAGCCUUACAAACAGGGCAGGCAGCAACACAUACACGGACGAAUGAUUCGGGAAUACCGUAGAAUUUGGCCCCCACAGUCCACGACUGCCUGAUACGGUCAACGGUGUCCUUGAGCCCGAGGUGGCGGAGCAGGUCUGGGUCGGCAUGCGCCUCCGAGACUAUGUCCUGCCACUGGCCGACAUGCGAGACGCGCUGCGCGGGGUUGGACUUGAACUGGAGAUACCUCCCGUCGGCCGAAGCUGCGAGCUUGUCCUGGAUGCGCUUCCACGCGGUGAGGUAGGCGGUAUCCUCGUUCCGGUCCUUCCACACCGCCCGCCACGAGGCGAGCACGGAGGGCGCCGUGGCGGCGCGGACCUCCUCGGCGGCGGCGGGGCGGCCCGCGAGGAGGCACCGCAGCAUGAGCGCAUGGGAGGCAGCGGUGAAGGUGUAGAACUGCGAGGAGAUGUGCGGCGUCGGGUCGACGUGCGGCAGCGCGAGGGAGGAGGCGACGCCGGAGCUAGGGUUCGGGCCGUGGAUUUGGAUCAGCGCCUCGUCGUCGGCGUCGACAUGGAGGAGGUAGCUGCACGGGCUAGGGUUCGGGGAGCUCGGGUCUGGGUCCGGCGGGUGGUGGGAUUUGAGGUAGGAGGAGGAGGGGAGGAGGGGAUUCAUGGGGGAGACGGUGGGGGAAGGCGACGAGGAGGUCUUCGGCAUAUCCGAUGGUUUAUUUUUUAUUUUUUGGGGAAACCUUUUUCCUCUUCCAAUUUCACGGCGCCUGGUGUUGAUCUUAUACCGUGCCUCUCUCUCUCUCCUGUCAGCGGGAUUGUGUGGGCUUUGUCUCACUGGAACUGGAACCUACCUGACAGAAGGCGUGACAUGGGCCCAAUGUGUCAGUUUUGUCCGGUGCGUUGGGCUCUUUGAGUUUCGUGGUAUACUGGACUGGCUCUGUUUGGACUUGGAGCGAGGCGAGUCGUAACCUGACAGCAGGGAACUGUGCCGGUGGGUCAGAGCUUUGGGGUCUGCUUUUACCGGUGAGUUGGGUCGUUCUCUAGAUUUUGGACGCUCAACAAGACGAAGAUUAGCUUACCCAAUCCUCAACCAGAACUGGCGCGCUCGCAUAUAUAUUUAUCCAAGCUUCUCACGCAUACUCAAGUUACCUUUUUCAUAUCACUAGCGAAAGGAUACCGCAGCAUCCAUGGCCCAAGUUCAUGCUGCUCUGGCGCUGUACAUCCUGCUCGUCCACGCCGUGGCUUGGCACGCGCAGGCGGCGUCGUACAACGUCGGGAACAGCGCCGGCUGGGAUAUCAGCGCGGAUCUCCCGUCGUGGGCCGACGGCAAGAAAUUCAACAUUGGUGAUGUUCUAGGUACGAAUCGAGACACGCCACAUCCUCUUCUUGGAAGAAGUUCUUUCUCAAUGGCUUAAAGAAGCAACGGCUUGCUACUUUUUUUCAGUAUACUUGAGUAUUUCGCAGCCGUUCGAUCACAAACCCUUUGCACAUUUAGAAACCAAACACAACCGCGUCACUGUCUCUUUGCGUUAUUUCAUUUCUGAACUUGCCAUGAUAUAGUUGGGCUAAUUAAUUACUGUUUUAGUAACGCUGUACUACUGCGAUUAAACUGUCUUAAUUGCAAUUUAACGGCGCUAAUUACUCUGUCCUCGCAUCGUGAUCGCAGUGUUCCAGUACUCCAAGUACCACACCCUGGACGAGGUCGACGCGGCUGGGUUCAAGAACUGCAGCGCGGCCAACGCGGUCUUCUCCAGCAGCGACGGCAACACGACGGUGCCACUGACGGCGAACGGCGACCGCUACUUCAUCUGCGGCAACCAGAUGCACUGCCUCGGCGGCAUGAAGCUGCAGGUGCACGUCGGCCCGCCAGGCUCCGGGGCGGGCGGAGCGCCCGCCGACGGCCCGCAGGCGAGCCCGGGCGCCGCGCUCGGGCCGGCGGCUGGCACUGGGAGCACCGAUGACGCGGGCAUCCCCACGCUCGUGCUCGGCGGGUCGCAUCGGCAUCGGCUAGGGGCGGGGGCCGUGCUGCUGGCCACGUGGUGGAUGUGUGUAGCUCUUCUUCUGUGAUGAGGAUUAUUUUGUUACAAAUCAUGUUCGCAACUUGUUUGUAAAUUUCGAAUCUACGUAAAGUUGUAGAAAGAAAUACAUAUGUUUUUUUAAUCUUCUAAGGUCAUUGUUAAUCAAGAUGAUUUUGCUAGUGGUUAUGUUGACAAUUAUUGAAGAUCUUGAUUUUGUUUUUUUUUCAUGGCUAUGACCUUGAAGUGGAAAAGAUUUGAAGGAGUGACAUGUUUCAAAAGUCGAAUAUGAUUAGUUGGAUGUGCAGUUGUUCCAUGAUAUACAACUGAUGUAUCACAUUUCAAAUCCCGAAAAUACAUCAACUUACGAUGAUAUGAACCGAGCUUCAGUCAUAAGGCGACCGUACCCUUUGACUUUGUUACGGGCAAAAUGCAACAAAUGCAUGUCGAGCUAGGUGUAGGAAGCGAAUUUAUAACACACAAAUUUGUCAAAAAUCAUAUUAAUUCAAAAAAUAUCAAUUUAAUUUACAAAGUUUGAGUUCGAAACUUCUUGGAGUUGUCAAUAGUCGAGAAUCAGCAACAUUUUUUUUGUAUUUUGCGUACUUAUAACUGUCAAGAGUAAAAAAUUAGCAACCAUUAUUUGUUUUACAUAUUGCAAGCAAGUCGGCAAGUCAUUCCAUUAUUGUGUAUUGUUGUCCACUCUCGCUUAUCUCUUUUCCUACCCAAACGAGCAAACCCAUGAGAAUCUCUAAAAACCUUCACCAUGGCAAGGAGGCUAAGAGUAUGCAGCAAAUUUACAGCCAACAAGUUUGUAAAAAUCCAUAUGGUGAAACCCUAAAUUUUUUGUCAGUUUAAAUUGAAAAUUUCGUUUUUCUUUGUAGGAAUGUACUCCCUCCAAUCCAUAUUAGUUGUCAAAAUAUUACAUGUAUCUAGACAUUUUUGAGAUAUAAAUACAUUCAUAUUUGGACAAAUUUAAGACAAUCAAUCAAUAUGGAUCGGAAGGAGUGAUUUUUUAGAACUAGCAAGCAGCUGUUCUUUGUCUUGCAUUUUGCAAACUGCAUUAUCGCGUCCACGCUGCCCACUCUCGCUUAUCGCUUCCCCUAUCCAAGCAUCCAACCCAGGAACUCACGGAAAACCCCCGAAAACCUCCGCCCGCCAUGGCGACCGCCGCCCAGGCCGCCGCCACUUUCAUUUCCUUUCUCUCAUCUUCCACCUACCACACCGCUCCCUCCUCUGCCGCCGUCUCCUUCCUGGUGAACCCUGCCCUGCCAGCCUCCCUCCGGGCCGCGGCCGCGGGGGCCCAAAUCCUCGCCUCCCGCUGCCGGGGCCGCCGCGUCGCCGCCGCCGUUGCUCAGCUCCCCACCAUGUGAGCACGAUUAGUAAUACUGCGAUCCCUAGGCAAUUGUUCCUCAUAAUCAUUUCUGAACUUGACCCGUUUCCUCUCCAAGUCUUCAAUCUCUUGGAAUUUAACGCCUGAUAUAACCUCUUAUCUUGCGCGAUUUGACUAUUUUAUUUUUUGGUCCUGUGCUGAUCUUGCUUCCGGAAUUAUCGUUGUGUAGGAACCCAGAGCUAGCUUCAGGGGAGAAGAAAUUCCGGUUUGCUACAAUUCCCUUGAUAUUUCGGCAUCAUGUGUCUCUAUACUGGGAGUUGAUAUGGGGAUUAAUUGCUCACAGGUGGUCAUCAAGGGCGGUGCGGUCAUUUGCAAUGGCGGAGCUAGAGGCACGAAAGAUGAGGUACCCAACCACAGGCACGGAGGGGCUCCUUAUGGGAAUACUCGUUGAGGGUGAGCAAAGCCACGAAUGGUCUUAUGCUUCCACCCAAACGCUUGCUUAUUUGCAUGUUUGGUGGUCAUAUAAGCAACUUAAGAGUGGUAAAUUAUUUGUGAACUGUGAUUUCGAUUUGGGAUAAGAUGAAAUAGGAGAAUGGAGAAUGAUAUAGGAGUUUCAGUAAAAAAAAAAAGAAUGAUAUAGGAGUAAGGUGCGUGCAGAUUUCUCACCAGAAAGAUACUAGAAGUUGGUCCUAGACUAAUGAUUGUAUGUUUAUCUAAGAAUAUCUGUGACAGAUUAGAUAGGAACUAUUUUUUGUUCAUGAGCAUGUGUAGUGUACACUAUAGAGAUAAAUAUAUUUCUUCGAAACUGUGAAAAAGUUUUUUCUUUUUGCGUGCAACGCCUGCAUGUAUAGUGAAUAUACAGAACGGGGAGAAGGAUGCCAUGAAUAAUGUACAGAAGUAAGUAUAACACAAAAUGACCUUUUUAGCGGCUUUUGGCAUUGACUAGUCAUGUAUUUCUCAAGCACUGACGCCAUCUAUUUAUGUAUAUGGAUGACAAUCAACUAGUUACUAGCAUCUAAUGAUGCAAAACCUUACGAGCCCAAAGUUUGUGAUAGUAUGCCAUGCAGGUCUCGUAGUACUCCUUAUACGCCUUAUAUUACGAAAUUGAGGGAGUAUGAUAAUAGCAAUAUGAGGUUUGAAGGAGUAUAUUGGUUUGGUUAUCCCAUAAAUAAGACACUAAAAAAUAUGUGGCCAACUGUUUACAGAAAAAUAAAAUAAAGGAAAAUAAGGCUUCAGUGUAAGAUGGUUGUGGAGUAUCCAAACCCUUUUAUCGGUUCAUGACACCAGAGAAUUCCGUACCUCUUUUUGUUGUCUUAUGGAGAUUGGGGUGAAGAGAAUUGCAGGGUCUUCUAUAAAUAAGGUUACCUGUGAUAGUUUAUAUGUGCUAACAGAUGCUGCAAUUCCAACCAAGACCUUAUGGGUGUUGGUUCACGUACAAUUUUCUUUCAAAAUAAUUAGUUAUUUUUUGAAGUGUGACAAACUGUUUUGUGCUCCAACACAGUGUAUGCAUGCUUUAUGUCGAAGCCUCUUAGCUGUCAGCAGUUCUAGUUGACAUCUAAAGAUUGCUGGUGACAUGUUUUACCGUCAUGUUCCUAACUGUUGAGCUGACAUUUGUUGUUAUAUCUGUUUUUUACAUCGUUAUACCUAUUUCACCGCACUGAACCACGGAUUUAUUGCUUUCAGGAACUAGUGAUGCGGCAAAACUUCUGCGUGCUAAUGGAAUCACGUUGCUCACAGUGCGGGACGCAGCAGCGGAAGUACUUGGGAAGUCAGAAAUGUUUUACUUCAGUCCUAUGCAUCCACCAUUGACAGAAUCUGCACAACGAGCCCUUGACUGGGCUGUAAAUGAGAAAUUGAAAUCAGGUUAUUUCCUUCAAAACAUGAACUUCUAUAAUUGUUCAUUUAUGAUUUGUGUUGAAAAGAUACUCAAAUGCUUACAUGUACUCUCUAGUAUUGGUAUCUGAUUGAGCCACAUGCUUGUUCUUAUUGUUAUGGUAGGCUUGAUAAUCAGUUUCUUCCUUUUUUUUGGAAAACCAGAAGUGUUGCACUCUCGUUCUCCAUAGUUGCUAGUUUGCUAAAGAUAAAUAAAGAUGCCUAAUAUGAUCUAUUCACAUCCAUUCGUGUUUAAUGAUCUCAUCUCGGGUUAACACAAAGACUAAGUUAGUACAUUGGCAUAGAGUAGGGUACUCUAUGUUUACUUCUGCAACAUUAUACAUAACAUUGUGUUAGUAUACUACAUCAUUAUGUUACCAUUGCAAUCUGGAUGGCUCAUACUAAAAUUGUAACAGGUCACCAUGGCCAUGCUUUUAACAAAUGAUCAUUUCAUGUUACUACUUUAACUCUUUUAAGUACAAAAUAAGUGGCAAAAAUGUUAUAAAAAAAUCCCUAUAUAGACAUAUAGUGGGUCUCUCUAAUACUCUAUACCUAGGUAUAGAUUAGUAGGCCACUCUACUGGAAAAGCGGUAGUUUCUGAUUCAUGCAUCACAUACCCCACCUCGAAUUUGAGUCUUCUUUUUACACUCUGAUAGCCACAUCUUUAGUCCUAUAAAAGACUCAAUUGGUGGCGGCAGUCCGUCACACACUGCAUCACUUGUGUAUUUCGCGCAAAUCAAUGAGAUGACAACAAAUAUGGAUUAUAUGAUAUAAGAUCGUAGACGAUAGGAAUACAUAGUGUAUUUAUUUAAUCUGUAACAACACACAGGUGUCGUGCUAGUAACUAAUAAUACUUCCUCCUAAACAGAAAUGUAUAUUAUCUGUAGAUUACUGAUGAGAACCAACAUGUACAACUGGUUUUCCUCUGAUGUGUUAUAUCUCUUUUCCUUGCAUAAUUUUCUUCAUUUCCCUUAUGAAUGUCUAUCAGACCAUUAGGCUCUGUCCACCUACUGACCUUCAUCUGUAAUAUAAGAGUGUGAAUUGGGUUUAGUGAUGAAAAGAAACACCAGAAUGUCUUUCCUUUCAUUUCUGGAAGUUUGGUUACGCUGAUUAAUCAAACUCUGAAAUUGUUGAUAUGUGAUAUGCCUGCAAUCUAUUAUAAUUUUGCAUCACGCGACUUUUCCCUAGCAUAACAGUAUAUUAUACAUUCCUUUACAUUGCCUAUGCUAGCUAGAUUGUUUAUAUUUGUGACAGAGUUUAAUCUAGAGAUCGAUUUUCAUAUUUAUGCCCACCUCUUGCUAGAGGAGUUGGGCACCCAACACAAAACUAAACAUGAGAACGUUUUUCCAGUUGGUUGGAGAACAUGUUCUGAAUAUUUAACUAAUAUUUCAUUUUCUCAUCAGACGUGCGUAGUUACCAAUCCUGCUAAUGAAAAAAUACAACGCCCCCUAUAGAUGCAGUGAUUUUUAGCUAAUCUCUGUAUAUCCUGUUCGGUGGAAACCAAACUUAGUUUGACAUUGGCCUCCUGGCUCGAGGAGCUUGUAUAUCCUAUUUGGGUAUCCCUACUUCUCAAUAGGUUAUACCAUAAAUGUUUGAAAAGUGAGGGGAUUGCCUCACAAUGACCCGGAGACAACAUAACUAUAUGCUGAUGCUGUGGGCUAUGGACUAUGGAGUCUGCAAUGAAUAGGAUUUCUUAUGGCUGCACCAUUUGAUUUGUAUGACAAAUCCGAGGACAACUUGUAUGGAUAACCAUGUUGUGACAAGUUUAUUGUGGUCUUGGUAACAUUCUUUGCGCCCCUUGAGUCCUAGAAAAACCUUAUGCCCAUUUUAUGUUGGCAUAAUUCCCAAACAGACAAGAGUGUAAGUCAAUGUUGCCAUAAUUUGAUUUUCGAUACUUGGUUGUGUUGACAAGAAUUUGUAAUACUUUGGUUUGUUCCUAAAAAUUGCUAAUAUUCUGUUCACAUCAGCAUGCCAGUCAGUAUUCUUCACAAUUGUUGAGCAAACCAAAAUUCACAAGUUUCAACCAUACUUUGACAUAACUUGGUAAUGCAAAUGUGGCCAUGUGGGCACAAAGCAAGCGGCCCAGGAUGUAGAACUGAAACCAGGCCAGUUUUCACCAAGCAUAGGACCAUAUUCUCAAGCAUCAGAUGCAGCUGAAUUGUUGUAAUGAACUUGUGAAGUGCCCUAAUGCCUAGCCUGCAUGUUUCAUAAAACAUUUUAAGGUUUGGCCUUUUUUUUACCGGGGAAAACAGCAGGAGAGGCUCCUACUGCGCUUGUAUUAAUAUGAAAGGAGAGCUUUACAGGCUACAUGUAUGUACAACAGGAAAAGAGGCAUAGGCCUCUAAAGAACUAAGAAAAAAAGCACUGUAGAAUCUGGUGCAAUUUAAAUUUGAAGGUCUCUUUUGUGGACCUAAAAGCAAGGAGCUCCAGAUCAGCCCUGAGAUAGGCACGCCAGGCACUUAAAGUCGGUGCAGCAUUGUCGAAUAGCUUGGCGUUGCGAACCUUCCAAAUGGCCCAGGCCGCAAGUGUGAAAGUCUCCCAAAAUAAACCUCUUUGCCAGGCAGCCUGAGCAGCAAACAAACGCUCACCAAGCGUGAGAGUGAGAUCCCAGUUGAUGCCCAAAGAGCCCCAGCAAUGGUUUGGCCAUUGAUAUAGAAAAAAUACCAACAUCUGCAAGUCUACAACACCAAACUGAUAGUACCUUAAUGAAGUAUACUUUCAUAAUGCAUUUUUUUAAGAAUAUUGUCACAGUAAUUGAUGGUCAAGGUUUAACUUUGGAGACUUGUCAAUGUCCAUACAACAUGAACUGUGACACGGAGAAAGCUGUUUCAGCAUAUCUUGUAUGGUCGAUGCUUUAGCUAUAGGCGUUAGAACUGCUUGUAUUACGUAUGAAGCCUAAUUCAACCUCUCGUGUUGGCUUUUCAGCUUAGUAUAGUUCCAUUUGAUGUCAUCUCAAAAAAAUGAUUUGGACAGGACCAUGUUUGUUCCACUUUUUUUAAUGAGGUGGGUUAAAAACCACACUGGGUCCGUUAGUAACUCUGUCCGCAACAGUUAUACAAAGUUCUGAUGGGAUUGCUCCUAUUGAUUAUUCAGAACUAUCAUCUAGGAGUCCUUAGCACCUCGGAAACACAGAUACUUCAGAAAUUGUGCGUAUCGGGGGUUGGAUACCUCCGGAUACCCCAAAAUACUUAUCGGAUAUGUGUCGGACGAUUUUCUAUUUUUAAAACUUCCACGAUAUGGCAGGACACGAAAAUACCUAAUGGCCCAAUGCCUAAUCCCACUCUGACCCUGGAUCAAUCCAAUCUUUCUCCCAUCCUGACCUACCGACCUGGGUGCUGGGCGCCGCCGCUUCCCCUGCAGCUGCACCACAACCGGCCGCUCCAUCUGCUGCUGCGCUACCGCUGCUACCGCAGUCCAGUUGUUGAAUGCUGCUCGUGUGCUUGCUGAGUUGUGAUUUCUAUUUUAUCAUGGCAAACUAGGUGGCAAAGAGAGGGCUUUCGCGUGUAAAAUCACUAUUUUUUUAUAUAUUAUCAAAUAUUUAUUUUAUAUAUACAAACAAACGUAUCCCCAUAUCAGGGUUUUUGAAAAAUAUGUCGUAUCACAGUGUCCGUAUCCGUAUCGCCAUAUCCGUGCAUCCUAGCUUAGCACCAGCAUGACCUACUUAGGUUGAUAACUCCAGCUCCACAUUGAAGAGAUGAGAUCUUCAUACACACAGGACUGGGGGGACAGGUAGCAGGCUCGUACCAUUCUGCUCAGGUUAUGACCUGGGACGAUGUUAAGCUUGAAAUUGUGAAUGAUGAUUCUUGAAAGUUAGUAUGAUAGUAGUAUCUUACAAAGCCUGCUGUGAGAAUUGAAGGGGUUGGAGGUCAUUUUUGUUAAGAGUACGUAUAUCUCCCGACAUGCUAUUCAUGAUCUGAAAUUUCAUGCACUAUUGGUAUUAUAAAAUUUGGCAGGCAUCAUACCAGUUUUAAACUCAAUCAAAACUGAUACGGCUUUGACUCCCACUCUUCACGAUUGUCUAGCCUAGCAAACUCAUGAACUCACCCAACAACACUCUGACGAGAUAGCCUUUGGAGACGAACCCAAAUCAACCAAACUCUUGAUGAACCCCUAGUUCCACGCAACCAGGGCAGUUGCUUCUCACAAAUUCAGAAGUAGAAAAGCAAGAACAGGUAGGAAGGCCUUGGAAUCAACACUAUGAGAGGUGGCCUUGGUCUUGGGAAAGGAACAAAGCUUACAUGUCUAAACAUCAUGUCUAUUCUAAUUAGGAGGGGUAGGGAGGUAUAGCCUUGAAGGAAUUGGGCCUAGGUUGGAUACAAGCCAGUGGGCCUGGGCUCAGCCCAUUUGUGCGCCGGCAAACUUGGAUUGUUGAAAUGAAGCCUUACAUGUCAAUCUUUGAGUGAAAGUCUGACGGUCCAACUCGCUCGAAUGGUCCGGGUUCCUUCUGGACUCAGGUCAAGUGGGAUGUCUGGAAGUCAGACGGUCCGACUCUUGGAUUGUCCAGUUUGCUCUCUGUUUUUAGAUGUUGCUGAGGUCAGACGGUCCAACAUGGGCUCAGACAUUUUGGCUUCUCUUCUGUUAUUCACAUCGCGGCCAUCGGCCGAGGACUGGUGAGGGUCGGACAGUCCGACUUGUCUUCAAAAGCUUCAGCCUUCACUCAGGAUUUCUUCUCUUUGUAGGGUUUCUUCUCUCUGUUAAGCCCACGACUUACUCCCUUGCGUACAUGUCAUCUAGCUAUCAACCCUGGAGAUGCAAAGGGUAGGAGUGUCAGAUAGUGCGCCAUUCUUGAGGGCAUUAAGUGGACAGAUGUAAUUGAGGCCACAUAAGUCCAAUCCAAGUGUCUUGUAGUUGUAGCGCUUGAAGUAGUGGAGUCCAUGGGGGGCGCAGUAUCAAAAACCCUUGCACGAAUUGAUUGUCCUAGAUCCAAUUUUAGCUACAUUACAAUAUAGAAAGCGAGUAGUUCUCUUUUUGAAUAUGUUUGUUGCUACAUGUUUGGGGGUAACACUACUUUAUAUAUAUAAGUAUAAUUACUGCAGUUCAACGGAGUGUAAUUUGGUGGAACUCUCUUCUUAACUGCACUUCUGACUUGUUGGUUUUACCUACCUUCAGUUAACAUUGUGCCCUCGAGUCCUGAGUGCUGAUUCCCUUGUAUGGUGUGUAGCACUGUGGCAGGUCUGCACAAACACUUCAGCAUGAUUUGAAGUGUGUUGUGUCUGUUUCUUUCAUUUUCUAUCUGCCCAUGUUUCCAUUAUUCCUUCUUAUUUAAUCUAAUGAGUUGAAUUCUGAUUUCAGGUGAGGAUGGAGAGGUAACGGCCAAUCAUUUGCUCCUGGGGAUAUGGUCAGACAAAGAGUCAGCUGGUCAUAAGGUUCUGGCUUCCCUAGGUUUUGAUGAUGAGAAAGCUGCUUUGCUGGCCAAAACGGUAAUGUCCUAGUUUCUUCGCAGCAUAGAUACUUCACAGAGGUCAUGGCUUCUCAAUUCGUCUACUAACCAUUUGCAGGCUGGCGACGAGGCGACGAUGAGUCCUAGAUAGCAAAUCGAGCAACUAGUUUAUUAUUGAUCUUCUCUGAGGUUAACGCAUGCCCUUGGCAACCUCUAGGCAAUAGUUGGUGACUCCAGAACCGUGGACCCACAAGUAAACGAAGAGAUUGCUAAGAACUGUUAGGUCCAAUCCAAUGUGUGAAGUCCCAAUAUUGCCAAAUGGCCUAUCAUGUAAACGCCUGCAAUGUAUUUUCGAAACCAACACGUUGUUCCGCGCCCAGCUAGAUUUGUGGUCUGCCCUUCAACCCUUCUAAAUAUCCAUAUGCAGAGUAUUUGUUCAAUUUGCAUCCUGACAAACAUUAAGCAUUUUCUGGAAAGUGACUGCUGUUCGUGUCAGUGUGAAAGGUUGAUUGAGUGGGACAUGUAUGGAAAUAUUUCUUAGAUGUAUCAUGAUUUGAUGCUUGGCCAGAAUUUGGGCCUGAAACUAUAGUUUUCUCAUCAUUCUUAUUAGCAGGGGAAGCUUUGCCCACUUUACACCAGAUGUGCAACACGAGGUUGGUACCUGGCACAAUGCUUUGAUUACAAGGACAUCUACCUUCAAAUCUUUUACAUUGUUUAUUAUUUUCACCCUACCUUUGUGCAUUAUAUUUCUGCUUAUCGGCACAUAACUAAGCUGACAGAAGCCAUCAGGGGGGGGGGGGGGGGGGGUUAUACAUUGUAUUCCUGGAUAGGGAAAUAUCAUGGCUCGACACUUAGCAUGUACAUACUGGAAGCUGACGCCAUGUUGGUGUGGUCAGGUGGCCGGCCGCAUUCCAGAGCUUAGGUUUCAGCUCUGAAGUCGUCAUCAGGUAUCAAUUCUAUCUGCCACCGACAGGGCAUUUCCUAUCUGAUCAGAACUUCGGAGAUGAACAGCACAGUCAUGCCUGCUGUCUAGGACAUGAGAAGAAGCAAUGCGAUUAAUUGGAAUUUCUUGCGUGCCACUGCACAAACACGUUCAGAUUUAUGACUCUUGUUUAUCCUCUUUACCCAUGUUUUGAUGUAUCUUUUUCCAAAUUAUGUUGAAUCUACCCUUUCACGUUGCUGCCAUAAUGGCAUUAUAUGUUUCAGAAAGUACAAAGGAGCACUUUGUACUUCUGUGGAAGAAGAAAAAUGUUAAUUCCAAGACUCAUGCUUGCUAGCUAGGAUUGAACUGCAUAUCAAGUCUCCGAGUUAACAAACGAGCAAGCAAAAAGUUGUGUGCAAAUUACGUGUCGUCUAAUUUUAUUUUAUUUUGGUCAAGUUCAAGCGUGCACCGGUAUAGUAUAGUAAUGCAAGAAGACAUAAACAACAGGAAAAAUUCACUUCUCCGGCGCGCUUUAUCGAUUGUUUACUCUUUCGUGUGCCUUAGUUUCCUUGAAUGUUUGCAUCAAAAGGCAUGUGCUCCCCCUUUAUUUUUGGACGAACCGUUUUGUAUCUAUAGACUGAGUUCCUUAGUGUACGGACGUCGUGAUAUCGUGCAUCUCUGUACUCGUUACCAUUAACAGAUACGAGUAAAACCGAAGAUUGCUAAUACAAUGGUGGAGAUGGUGUUCUCCUGUACUGAAUAGCGUUCUCUUGUGAAUCUCUCAUCCAUAUAAGAUAAAUCUCCUUCUUGAUGCGCGUUCUUAGUUCAAUAAAACUCCUUUAUCAAGAAAAAGAGAUUACAUCUCACACAUAAUAGGUACUCCUUUAUCACGAUAAUAAUUUAGAAUCGGAGAGACUAACUAAGUAAGUCCUCAUCCAGAUCUCUUCGGGAACUGAGGCCACUGGUCACCGUCUUGGUCUCCUCCACAGUAGACACAAAUCACUCUCAUAGUUCUCUGCCAACCUACAAGUCAAGGAAUGCAUCCACGAGUAGUCCUGUAGUACUGUACUUCUAUAGAUAUGAUAGCUCAAGUCUAAAGAUCAUGAUCUUUCUUAGACGCUUUGACCAUUAGCAGUAGCACUGGACGGGAUGCAUGGCGUUGGAGGUUGGACCACCACUUGGCAUAUAUAUAUGAUCGAAGGUCUAGAGCUUAGCCUUUAUUUUCCCUAUUUGCAAUCCCUGCCUAAGCUCCUCACGUGCCAUCUAUAUCUGACAGUAGGAGCACCACAGUACUGUGAGACAUGCAGAAAGUUCAGUUCCCUCUCACCUCCACAUUAAAUUCACUGCCAAUAUAAUAGAGUGCACGUCCGGUUCUGAUCCGGCAACGUCGGUCGUGUGCCACCAGAUGCUGGGUUCCUGUGGCGCUGCUCGUCCUAUCAUUCAGUUAUCUGUCUCAGCUCAGGAUAGACCAUGCAUGGUACUGUCGACACAUAUAUAUUAAGGAUUGUUCCAUUGGCCCUUAAAAAAAUUGGAACUGUAUUUAAGUAUACUUCCGUUUCAGUGAUUCUAAUUUUUCCAACAGUGCAUGCAACAACGAGGACAGAACAAAAUCAAAAUGGCGACCGUUCCAUGGAAACAUGGAAGAGAUUGGGCACAUAUGCACACCAUUGACAACCGGACAUGCAUGUUCAUAAGUAAUCUAAAUGUAACUGGUAGUAGUUGUUCGUACGUACUGUACUAUAGUAAAGAAUUUGUUCUUGUUAUUUGGACAUACUCCUGGGGUAUCCAUCCAGGAGGGGGGUUCAUUUCUUGCAUUGUUUGUCGGCAAAACAGACGGUCUACGUACCUGCUGCAGUCUGAGCUGACAUCCUGUCACUGAAACCCAUUACCACCCGCAGGAUUUCUGGGAGGGAGCUACUCCCGACUCACUGAAAGCAAUAGAGAAAUAGUGGGCCCACGUACUUGGACCUCAGCCAAAUUUUGGGAUUCCUAUGCGCUGACCACACGAGUGCAAAUUAAAAAGAGAACUUAGAUUCAUAUUACUUAUUACUUGUUUUAAAUUUGUCAAAUAUGAAUGUAUUUAUGUUUAAAAGCGUCUAGAUACAUGUAAUAUUUCGACAAGUAAUAUGGAUCGGAGGGAGUAAGUGAACUUCUACAUAGGUCGGUCCCACCAAAAUAUUACAUGUAUCUAAACGCUUUUUUGUAUAAAUAUUAGAUACAUUCAUAUUGAGGCAAAUUUGAGUCACUUGAUAUGGACGGAGGAAGUAUUAUGGUGCCAUGAAAUGCAGAUCUGCAGCGCACAUGCAUACUAUCCCGUUUCAAAAAUAGAGGCUGUUCUCCAUAAAUCGUGCAGUCAUAUUUCUCCUUUGACAAUGAAUUAUUUCUCUAGUUCGCAGAAAUAUUGCGUUUCGGAACUGAGAAACCUAAAAAAUCAUAUAGGUUGUUUAGGUGUAAAUGAUAUGAUACUCAUCAAGGGACCACAACACAAAAACUAGAGGGUGUCGAUGGAUAUAUCAGGGUAUAAGUGUUACGCCGUUUUAUUAGAAAAGGACGCCAUAUACUUGACAAGUAUAUGGGUGUGUUUGGAUUAUGCCAACUCUUCUCCUACCGAUUCUUGGCAUCAUUUGGCUAGCCAAAAAAUUGUCUAGGUUUUGGUUUCCCAUGAGUUGGCCAAAUUUGGAACAAAAAUGAACUAGAGUUGGCAAGAAGUCAUUGGCUUACCAAAUUAUUGGCUACAAUCCAAACAAAGACCAAAGUUUUGUUCAUGACCAAAAAUUGGGAAAGGUGGGUUUUGGCUGGCAUCCAAACACACCCUAUAUGACGCUUUGACAUAUUAAAAACAUGUUUGUCCGCCUCAUGGAACAAGACAUAUUUCUAUGUUAGGAAAAGAGUAAAUUUCACAAAAUCACACAUUUUGUGGCCAGGGUUUCACGGAACCACGCAGUUAACGCUAAUUUUCUCAUAAGACCACUACUCUUGAGACAUGCAUGUCUUCGUAAAAAAACCAAAUCUACCGGUUUAGUGCGUUUUGACAACGAUUCCAAUAAAUGGGCCCACAUGUAAGUGUCAUGCCAUCUCUUAAUGGGCUUUUUACUCGACAUGUACUCAACCCGUUCUUGAUCUCCUCCAGGUUCAGGGAUUGGAUAGCGGUUGAUGGUUUGGGUCACUGACCAGAUAUUUUUGCCACGCGGACAAUUACAUUUGGGCUACACAUGUCGGAAACACUGUCAAACCCGCUAAACUGGAAGUUUGGGAUUAUUUGAGAAGCCCUGCCGUGCCUGAUAGAAACAUUAAUUAUGCAUGUAUAAUUUCUAUUCGUAUGUAUUCGACAGGUUCCGAUCACGAUUGUGCAAAUACCCGCACACUAGACAUACACAACGUACUACAUUUAAUUAACUGCUAGCUAGCUCCUCCCAUCGAUCACAAUAUUGUUGAGGUCGGCUACACUGCAAAUUAAGUCCAAACGGCCGUUAUCCUGGAGAUCGAUUGCAUGCAGCAGUUUGCCCAUAAUCGACGACUUAAAGAUAAGUAACUGCUAUACUACCUCUUUACUGACCUCCUGUAAGCAAAAUUAAUGUUGACCGAUUGGACAUAGUAUAUAUAUGUACAGUUCCAGAACAGCUACUACCAAGGAAAAAUGUGCAUGACCAUCUCGACUUCGAUCUAGAAUGUGUGAUGUGUCACUAGUAAUAACGUCACCGCAUCAGAUUGAAACUAAUAUAUGCGUUCACAAUGUGUGCAUCAGUUAUCCCCCUUUUGGGAAAAAAAGAGUACAUGUAAAACAGCUCAGAGAAAGCUAUAUAGUCGUAUGAUUGUGUGAUUAAUUACUGAUUAGCCAGCCGAAUAAUCAUGGAUGCUGGCAUGAUGCAUGUUCAGUUCUUCAUGCGUUGCAGCGUUGGUUACAUGCAUAAACCGUCGAGGAGAAAACUGCGAGCUUUUAAGGUGCAGUGCCGGCGCGUGACGCGAGCAGCCCGGAAUGGCGCUUGUCGUUUCUGGUCAGGCAAUUUUGUAACGGACGACUAAUCGAUCGACGCCUUCCAAAGAAAACAAAAAUUGGGAAGAAACAGAUCCGGAUGGAUGAACGAUGAUAGCAUAGCCCAAGCGCGUGGUCACCACUUACGUACGCUCACUGCUUUUCUUCUUCGAGCGUUAUAACACGGCAUUACGAGUACCGAUAUUUCGUACGUACCCGUACACAUACGAGAAAAUUAAGUUUUGUACAUACGCGCGCACGCGCCAUAUAUAUAGAGUGGGUAAUAAUCCGUUUUCCGGAGUGUGGUACGUACGCGUGAAUAAUAUCUUAAAGAAAAUACCAAUAUUUGUAGCUGGACUUGUACGUUAAUUAUCCAUCAGUGUCAGUAAAUCUAGCUAAUCAUUAGCUUGCUAUGUUCAAGCAGCUGAAAAUUAAUUAAUUAACCCUGCUGGUACUUUAUAAACGAACAUGGCCGGCCGGUCACGAUUAAUUAAUUUUACGAACAAGAAAAAUGAUAAUCCAAAUAUGUAUGAGAGUCGAUGUUGCUCUCCUUGGAGCUAGUCUCGAACGAUCGAUCAGUCUGAUAGCCACACAUAGGUUUGCUGAAUGCAUGCACAGUGCGCGGUAGCUACAUAGCUGCGUGCCGCCUGAUCUCCGAGAAGUGAAAAGUCUUUGACCGCAACGUCAAGCCGGCCGCGGCUACGAUCGAUGGCAAGUGAAGUGAAGUCACAAGCUAUAGCUUUAGUUCCCAUGCAUGCCACGGAAGCGCUCACCUAUAUUCAAUAAUAAACAAAAGAAGCUAGCGCGCAAUACACAGCUAGCGUAUGGAGGGGAAGAAUGUCAUGUUAGCCUCACGUGGGGAGAGACUACUACUCACUACUACAGCAGCUGAGCAGCUGCCUCGCCGGUACUGUAGCGGCGGAAUGUGUGCGAGAGAGACCCCUCAGGCCGGCGCCGAGUCCACCAAUGCAGCGGAUGCUCGACUUCUUCCAGAGAGAAAAAUAAUUCAUCAUCGAUCGAUCUUCUCUCUGUGUGUACAUAUAUUCAUGUUGUAUGUUUGUGUGAUGGAUGUAUCGAAUAUCGAUCGAUGCGAAUUGGGAAGAGGGACGGACACGAACGACGUACAGUGCGUGGUUUUCGUCCGGCCCCCUUUGCUAGCUCUUCUCUCGCAUAUGCAUGUUUGCUUCACGCAAUCUUCUAGCCCUUAAGAGAGCGAAAGAGCAGAAAGAGAAGUGUGUAGAGAGGGAAAGAAAGAAAGGAAGAAAGAAAGAAAGAGAAGGAGGCCGGCCGGGUGGUACCAGCCAGCUGCUGCUGCUAGGCUUCCUUCCAUGCCGUGGCUUUAAAGUCUCAUCAAUACCACAAAAACAAAGAAACUACACAUAUAUUGCUAGUAGCAGUAGGACGAGCAGGGAAAGCAUAUGUGAGAAAACGGAAAGAAAGAGAGGGGAAAAAAACGAAAAAUCGAACUGGAGCUGUAUCUGUAACCCCCCAUGACCUUCUACCAAUAGGACAAACACCAAAAAGGAGGAGAGAUCGGAGAGAAGUGGGCUUUUCCAUAUUUACACAUAUGCCCUUCCGGCCUCUCCAGCCGCUUCUCUUCUUCCCCUAUAUUGGCAGCCUGGCCUCCCCCAUUCGACCCUCUCUCCCCGUCCCUCUCUUUCUCUCAACCUCUGUGCCAAGUACCAACACUGGCGAUGAGCACUUGUUUUAUCCUAUAACGAGCAAGUGCCCAGAGCAGAUAUAAGGAUCGGAGCGCGAGCGCAGCCAGCAGCUGGUAGUAAAACCCUCUCUCGGGAGAGGGGAUCGAUCGUUCGAUCCGGCAAUGAGCUCGGGAGGCGGCACCAGCGCGCACGGCGGAGGGCCGAGCGGAAGCGGCAGCGGCGGCGGCGGUGGCGGGCCGUGCGGCGCGUGCAAGUUCCUGCGGCGCAAGUGCGUGAGCGGCUGCAUCUUCGCCCCCUACUUCGACUCGGAGCAAGGCGCGGCGCACUUCGCGGCGGUGCACAAGGUGUUCGGCGCCAGCAACGUGUCCAAGCUCCUCCUCCAGAUCCCGGCCCACAAGCGCCUCGACGCCGUCGUCACCAUCUGCUACGAGGCCCAGGCCCGCCUCCGCGACCCCGUCUACGGCUGCGUCGCCCACAUCUUCGCCCUCCAGCAGCAGGUAUAUCCUAGUACGAAUCACCCGGCCGGUGUCAGCUCCAUGAUCGAUGAUCACUCCUGUUUGCCUUGCAUGUCCAUUCGAUGAUUACCCUCUGGAAACCUAGCUGGUUAGAUAGUAGCAGUAAUGCCAUGCACCGCGAGCGGAGGCUCGAAUCGAAUUGCUGACCAGUUUUGCAUGCCAUGCGUAUGGAUCUGGGGUCUUUCUUCCUCGUCCUGGAAGGAACUUGGCGUGUUUCUUUCUCCAGAAAGGUAAGUCUACUUUGGGGAGGGAGGAGAGGAAAUUAACACGGCCAAGCCAAGCAACGGCAGUGCGAAAAGGGGCACGCCAAGCGCUAAACCUGGAGGCUGCUUCCCCCAGCUGGACUUUAAUUAAUUAAUUUGCGAUGAAUGAUAUAUAUAUUUGCAGCGCAUGACGUCUCAUCCGCCGCGUCGACCGAUCUUCGAACCCCCCCGUCCGUAAAAUCGUACACCCAUAUCGUCCAUCACGCCACGUAUGUACACACACAAACGCACCAUGCAUAUACUUGCGUUACUACUAGGAGCAGUAGUAGUCCAUCUUGGGUUCCGAAGUUCCAUCUGUGACCGGCCCCGUGCAUGAUGAAAAGAAAUUAAGCCCUAGCCAGCCAGCACCGAUCUCUAGUCCUAGAAGUCCCAACCAAACUCGAUCGCGUCGUUUUUUUAGAUCUUUUGUCACCUUUCAGACCCUCACUUCGUCGUGAUGUCUCCGUUAUUAUAUACACGCAUGCAUGUGAUCGAUGACUCUACAUUUUCGCAAUAUUGUGUGAUUUGAAUCAAUACUAAUGUAAUGCACGAGUGCAUGACUGACUAUACUGUAUAUGUGUCCAUAACGCCGUGCGAUGAUCAUUUCCUUCCCUGCAGGUGGUGAAUCUCCAGGCCGAGCUGACAUACCUGCAGACCCACCUGGCGACCCUGGAGCUGCCGUCCCCGCCGAUCCCGGCCGCCACGCCGCAGAUGCCGACGAUGGCGCCGCCGGGCCCGUUCUCCAUCUCCGACCUCCCGUCGUCGACCCUCAACAUCCCGACCACCAUCGACCUCUCCGCACUCUUCGACCCGCCGGCGCAGCUGCCGCAGUGGGCGCUACAGCAGCAGCAUCACCACCACCAACACCAGCUCCGGCAGCCCCCCUACGGCGGCGCACAGGCUCCCAGGGCUUCCUCCAGCAUGUCAGCUGCCGAGGCCUCAGGGGCUGGCGGCGGCGGCGGCGACUUGCAGUCGCUGGCGCGGGAGCUACUUGAUCGCCACGGCCGGUCCGGCGUGAUCAAGCCCGAGCAGCUGCCGCCGCCACGGCCGCCGCAUCCAAGAUGAUCAGAAGCUUCGGUUCUUCAAGCCGCGCGCCAUGGCCCGUUCAACGAUUACGGACGUGUAUUUGUGGAAGAAGGCCGGACGGGUGACAUGGCGCGCGCCAGAAGAGAGUUUGGGCCUGCUUGGGGCGCGGGAUUAACGUACUAGAGAGGGGUUUUGGGAUCGGUGAUAUGGUGAGCAGCGAUCAAUUAUAAUCGAGUAGGUAAAGGAUGCAGCUAGCAUUGGCCGGUUUUCGCGUAUCCACCUUGUUGUUAACCAAGGGUGCAAGGGCGCCCACUUGCUCGAUUAUUAUACCACAAUUAACUUGGCUUUCCUCCAACGGAGGACGGUGGAGACUGGAGAGGAGAUCGUUUCGUUCGGGUGUCGCGUAGCGCCAGUAGUGGUACGAGCAGGGUACUACUUCCAGUAGCAGUUUGACAUGUAGCAGUGUUUUCUUUUGUCACCGGACGUCGUUCCAUUGAUUGCAAGAUUUUUAAGAAGCUUCCAUUCCUGGCUUAUACUACUCCGUACUCCUAUAUCUCACCUGUUGAUCACACUAGCUACUUACUCAAUCGAACUACAGUAGCUGUUUUCAAUGCAUUUAUGACCUUCUCUAAAUUGGUUUUUCCAUCUAUAGAUUGUGUGCAUAUUCGGACGAGCUAGGAGAGAUCGUGCACAAGUAUAACUUAUUUAUUUUAUUCAUUUUUUCGACGGAGAGUUACAGUAGUACGUGCUGUGACGCAACGUACAGUACGCAGAAGUCACUUCCUACUUGGAGUCAUGAACAGCUCCUCAGCUUCUCUGGAUAGGGGGACAUGUGGCUAUGCAUGAUCGACCCCACGUUUGAGUAGAUGAGAGAUAAAAGGAAUAUGGUUUUGGUCCGUAGUCGAUUUGUCAGCGAUCCAGCUUUGACUAUGACCAAUGUUAUGUGUUGUCCGCCGCGCUGUUGCUUGUAGGUUUACGUAUGCCCCCGUAUCCCGGUGUCGGCUGGAAAGGGAAAUUAAUGUGUGCAAGUAUAACUUGUGUACAUCGUUUUUAAUUGUUGUAGAUUCGUGCAUUUUCAAAAUGAAAUCAUGCACAUGAAUGUCCACUGAAUUUCCAACCCCUGUGAAAUCCGCCUUGUUGGUCAAACAAUCUAGCUGAUCGGGUUUUGCCGUUUAUAAAUUAGAGGCGUGACCUGACCAUCAAGUUUAGAGGGAUGAUCUAGAGUCUGUUCAUAAUGCAAGAAAGUUGUCACAGCUAAUUAAUUACCUUUAGCUAUCCUUAUACGCGACGAAGUACAAGCAGCUUUAAAUAAAGUCUCUUCUUAAUUUCCCUCCCUAUCUAACAAUAAAAACGACUGGAAGUGCAUGAUUACUUGGGCAACCAGUUUGGAUUGCUGAUCUGCGGAAACAAUUCCUGAUUGAAUCAAGUGAUGUUACGUGUUGUGACACUGGGGUGUAGGGCUCCACAAAGAGCACGCAACGGGUCAAUCAUUUCCCUGCGCACGCAUUCCAUCAGUACGUACACGAGCUAAGUACACAUCACACUUCCUUAUCUCCAAAAUCCAAAUGUACUAGUACUCCGUAUUUAUGAUAUGAUCGACUUGUCAUGUAAUGCAAGAUCAAUAAUCCCAGCACCCGCGCAUGCCCAUAUUGAUGAACGAUCGAUCAUAUCAUUUCAUGUGAUGCACCAUCCAUUAAUCGUGUUUCACAAUCGAUGGGCAUUAGGCCAUGUCUCAUCUCCUGGUCACAUGAGGCAACGAGUCUGUACUGUUUACGUUUUGCUUGGUUUUUUCUGACACUGAUCUCUGUAUCCAUACAGUUUUUUUUUGAGCGACUGAAUCCAUACAGUUGAUGUGCAAUAGUCAGACAAGUCGCAGGACACAGGCUGUCAAGUGCAAUAGUGGAUUUUAUUUGGCCCAUCGACUGUCUUCUCGAUCAAGCUGGGCCUGGUAGCAAAAAUUGUAUGGGCCUUAAAGCAGACGAGGCUAUUAAGUCAAUAUCGGCCCGGCCCAAGGCUUGUACCCUGCCGCCGUUGAAGUCAUCCCACUGUCAGUGGAAUAGCAUCACUCACCCUCGAUCGCAGCAGCCUGCCUCUAAUCGCUGACUGGCAAGUGGGGCCGACAUAUGGUCGUUCCCACCAGCCAAAUCUACGCACGCGACCAUCUCUCUCUCUUCUUCUCCCUCUUCGCCCCACUCGGCGAUCCGAACCCCCGGAUCGCACCGCGUCAGUCCCCUCCCCGCCCCGCCCAGAUCCAGAUCCACACACGGCGCGGCACAGCCGCGGCCACCCGGAAUCCUUCGAGGAAUAAUGGCCUCCGCGGCAGCGGCGCCGCCGCUGUCCUCGCCGGAGUCCGACCCGCGCCUCGUCGAGGCCUUCGUGCCCUUCCUCGAGAAGCUUGUGAAGAACGCCUCGUGGCGCAACAAGGCGCACUCCAAGCUCUCCCACACCGCCAAGUCCAUCCUCGACCGCCUCGGGAAGCCCCCGCCCUCCUCACCCACCGCGGCGCAGACCCCGUCCACCCCGACCUCACCAUCCACGCCGACAUCGUCCUCAUGGCAGCCGGGCCCGCUCCGCAGCCUCUCGCUCGAGGACUCGGAGCUGCUCCUCUCUCCCAUCUCCUCUGCGCUCGGCUCCGGUAGCGCCAAGCUCGCUGAGGCCGCGCUCGAGCUCCUCCACAGGCUCAUCGCGCACUCCUACAUCCACGGUGAGGCCGACCCGUCGGCUGAUCCCUCGGCCCAGCUUGUGGCGUCCCUUCUCGAGGCAGCCUGCAAUGCGCUCCACCUCGACGACGAGCACAUUGAGCUCCUCCUCCUUAAGACUCUCCUCUCGGCGGUCACCUCCACCUCGGUGCGCCUCCAUGGCGACUGCCUGCUCCGUGCCGUGCGCGCCUGCUAUGAUAUGUACUUGGGGAGCCGUAGCACCGUGAAUCAGGCCACUGCCAAGGCGUCGCUCGUGCAGAUGUUGGUAAUAGUGUUCCGCCGCAUGGAGGCAGACUCGUCCACUAUUCCGGUGCAACCCAUCGUAGUGGCUGAAGUGAUCGAGUUGCCUGACGCUAGUUCAGGAGCAUCACCCACCGCCGAUGCCAACUUUGUACAGGGAUUCAUUUCAAAGAUCAUUGGGGACAUUGAUGGUGCACUCACACCUCUGGCACGGACAACUUCGUCAGCUGGGGCAGGGGCUGCUGUGGCUCAUGAUGGUGCUUUUGAGACAACAGCAGCAGCGGAGGAAGGGGCAAACCCCGCAGACUUACUUGAUUCGACGGAUAAGGACAUGCUGGAUGCCAAGUACUGGGAGAUCAGCAUGUACAAGACCGCGCUUGAGGGUCGCAAGGAUGAGCUUGGUGUAGAGGGAGCAGUGGUGGCCACUUUGGAUGACGAUGCUGACGUGAGGAUUGGGAAUAAGUUGCGGAGAGAUGCUUUUUUGGUUUUCCGGGCAUUGUGUAAGCUCUCGAUGAAGACACCGCCAAAGGACGCGCCAGCUGAUCCAUUAGUAAUGCGGGGGAAGAUCCUUGCUCUUGAACUUCUUAAGAUCUUGCUUGAAAACGCAGGGGCUGUGUUCCGUACCAGCGAGAGGUACAAAUGCCCUUCCCUGAAACUUGAUCUAUUUAUUUUGCCUCAGAUAUUGUAAGUUCCUUUCUAUAAUCUGGCAACAACAACAUUUAGCAAAAUUUAGUGUACCACUGUAUUCCGUGAAAAGAUUAAGGAAAGCAGGAGCUUUUAGCCAAUUAUCCAUGAAAAGAUUAGCCACUAUUUUUUUUAAGGGUAGCUCAGUUGAAUUAAUCUGUAGUUAUGUUGCUGCUUUUAAUACCGAUGCUACACAAAAUCAGUAUUGAAAUUCUCGUUGCAAUUUACAGAACUUAUAGGCGUGAAUCAGUAUUGAAAUUCUCGUUGCAAUUUACAUAAGUUAUAAGCGUGUAGUUUAUACUUGUUACUCAGAUAUUGACAUUGGAAUUCACUGAAGUUGAUCGUUCUCACACAAAAAAGAAUUGGUAAGGAUGAUUCUGCUAUCGGCAUUUCCUGACAACAUUACCAGAUCCUGCCCUGAUAUCGAUGUUAGGUUUACAAUCGUAAUGUGUACCAAAGUGUAGUUGCUAAAUUUUAUUGGAAAUGUGUAAUUGCCCUUAACAGUGAGAAGUGCAGCGUGAUGUCUGGGAGGUGUUGGGUACUAUGUAAACAAAAUAUAUAGAGAGAGAUGGUAUAGUUGUAAAGACAAUCAAUGGAAGUGUGAGGCGAAAGGGUUGAAAGUUUGCUAAAGCCCAGCCCUACAUAGUCUUUGUUGCCGAUUAAGCCAAAAGGUUAACCAGGAGUUCUGUAUGUUUGGACCAUCAAGCAUUUUAUGCUACUACUCCACUCUAUAAAUCUCCAUUCGGGGAUCAAUCCUCCCACCACUAAGCAAAUUGCAAACUUGGAAGGUGGCCAAAUUACCAGCAGGUACACAUUGUUGCCGUGUGUUCUCCAGUGGACCACACGCCUGCACCCUCAUGCCAUGAUGGUUAUGCUUUGAUGCCAUAUGUAACGCCCCAGAGGUCUAAAGUUAUGUAAAUCCAGACACCAUGCUCAACGGGCCAGUAACAGUUGCCAGCUUGCUUUGCUGCUGUACACUUUAAGCUCUGGACGUGGGAAUUAUUCCACAGCUGCUUCUCUUUUGCCACAUGGGACACCAUUAAUUGGACGAGGGUUUUAUAGGAAGAUCAUGGAGUAUAAAUAGAUAGAGAAAUAUAUAAACUCAGUUCCAUUUGAGAGGAAUUAGAAAGAGAAAUAUAUAAACAAAUAGUACAGGAUCACUAUUCAUGCUGAUUUAUUUGGACUUGAAAUUUUACAAGUAUUACUUGUUGGGAUUUUUUUGGAACAAUUAUACGUUUUCAUGAAGUGAUAGCCGCCAAAGAUACGCUGCUAUGAGAGUCGAUUGUGAUUAUGAGAUUAUCUGUGUUGUCUUUGCUGGUUGUUUGUGUUAAUUGUUAAGUUAGAAACACAGGAAGCUUGUUACUGAGAGAUGAUUGAAGUAGUAGUAUUGGACAUGUGGAAGUCAGCCUACCGAGGAAUAUUGUAUUGUGUACUUUCCACAUAGAGCAGCGCCUUGUCCAAUAUUAUGCUCCGCUGGUGUAAUUAAUAAAGUUGUAUCUUGAUACUGACAUUGCUAUACUAGCACUUUCUUAUCAACUGCAAUGGUGUUCUUUUACCCUAUGUUACAUAGUACGGGGAUACGGGUACGGGGAUACAGGAGAACUGCAUUUUUUAAGCCUUACGGGGAUACGGCGAGUAUAAGUAUAAAUACAAGAAUAAGCACCAACUAAAAAAUAUUAAGUGGAUGAGAGAUUGAAGAUGGACCAAGAUUGGAUGGAGCAGCGACCAGCGAGGUGUUGCUGGCGGCGUGCUGACUUUGGCGUCGUUUGGCGAUGCACCUAGAGGAGAGAGCUGCACCGAUUUGGCACCUUUGUGCCGUAUCCCUGCAUCCCUGCCUUUACCCAUCUUCUUGAUGUUUUUAUUCUUCAUGAAUAACAUUACAAUUUUGUCUAACUAUUUUAUUUCAUCUUGCUCAGGUUUCUAGGUGCUAUUAAGCAGUAUCUGUGCCUAUCACUUUUGAAGAACUGUGCCUCGUCACAUAUGAUUGUUUUUCAGUUAUCUUGUUCUAUUUUUAUUAGCCUGGUUUCAAGAUUCAGGCCAGGAUUGAAGGCAGAGAUUGGAGUAUUUUUUCCCAUGAUCAUUCUGAGAGUUCUGGAAAAUAUUGCACAACCAAAUUUUCAAGCAAAGAUGAUAGUUCUUCGUUUUUUGGAGAAGCUCUGCACUGAUUCUCAAAUCUUGGUUGACAUUUUCAUUAAUUACGACUGUGAUGUCCACUCAUCAAACAUAUUUGAAAGGUACUGCACCACUCACAUUUCAUUACUAUACUUGAGUAUUAUUAGUGAGGUUUCUUAUUCUUUAAAAUGUCAUCUCAGAAACUUAUUUAGUUCUAUGUUACAUUUUCUUGAUUUUGUGGAACAGGAUGGUCAAUGGUCUGCUAAAAACUGCUCAAGGACCUCCUGCUGGUGUCUCUACCACACUGGUGCCGCCUCAGGAUACCACAAUGAAGAGUGAAGCAAUGAAAUGCUUAGUUUCCAUUCUGAGAUCCAUGGGAGAUUGGAUGAAUAAGCAGCUACGUAUUCCAGAUCCUGACUCUCCUAAUGUUGAAUCAGAGCAAAACGAUAACGAUGGUGGAAGUGAGCUUCCCCAGAUAGAGAACAAUGGAGAUGCUUCUAGUGAAGCAUCUGAUUCACAUUCAGAAAUAUCGAAUGGGGUUUCAGAGGCUGCAUCUUUGGAGCAGCGCCGAGCUUACAAAAUGGAACUUCAGGUGGAUCUCAUUCUACAUCUAGUUAUUUGAAUCUGCAUUUGUCGAUGAGACUGUGACAAUGUGCUGUCUGCUGUUCUUUCAUGAAUGACUUGCCACUGUUGCAUUAUCUUAUAGUUAUGUUGUUUUGUUCCCCCUUUUUUAAUGUGGCUGAUUGAUUUUUGAAUGGCAGGAGGGUAUCUCUCUUUUUAACCGGAAGCCUAGAAAGGGAAUUGAAUUUCUAAUAAAUGCAAACAAGGUUGGGGAGUCACCUGAGGAAAUAGCUGCUUUCCUAAAAAGUGCUUCUGGCUUGAACAAGACUAUGAUUGGUGAUUACUUAGGGGAGAGGGAAGAUUUGUCUCUCAAAGUCAUGCAUGCAUAUGUGGAUUCAUUUGAUUUUCAAAACAUGGAAUUUGAUGAAGCGAUUAGAGCCUUUCUUCAAGGUUUCAGGUUGCCUGGAGAAGCUCAAAAGAUUGACCGGGUUAUGGAAAAAUUUGCAGAACGUUACUGCAAAUGCAACCCAAAGGCUUUCUCCAGUGCAGAUACAGCUUAUGUCCUUGCUUAUUCAGUCAUAAUGCUUAACACUGAUGCACAUAACCCAAUGGUCAAAAAUAAGGUAUUUUUAAAUUAUACUUGUCGAAAUUAUUUACACAUUUUCUGAUGCUUUUGUAAUUUAUAUUAAUUGAUGCAGAUGUCGCCUGAAGAUUUCAUAAGAAACAAUCGUGGUAUCGAUGAUGGAAAAGACCUGCCUGAAGAAUUUAUGAGAUCCUUGUAUGGAAGAAUUUGGAAAAAAGAGAUUAAGAUGAAAGAAGACGACUUUGUUCCUCAACAGCAUCAAUCAACAAGCUCUAACAAAAUUCUUGGGUUGGAUAACAUUCUUAACAUUGUCAUACGCAAACGAGGUUCGGCUAUGGAGACGAGCGAUGAUCUCAUUAAGCAUAUGCAGGAGC
rnacentral:lncRNA from 1 species